GACGAACGCUGGCGGCGUGCUUAACACAUGCAAGUCGAACGGAAAGGCCCUGCUUUUGUGGGGUGCUCGAGUGGCGAACGGGUGAGUAACACGUGAGUAACCUGCCCUUGACUUUGGGAUAACUUCAGGAAACUGGGGCUAAUACCGGAUAGGAGCUCCUGCUGCAUGGUGGGGGUUGGAAAGUUUCGGCGGUUGGGGAUGGACUCGCGGCUUAUCAGCUUGUUGGUGGGGUAGUGGCUUACCAAGGCUUUGACGGGUAGCCGGCCUGAGAGGGUGACCGGCCACAUGGGGACUGCGAUAGGGCCCAGACUCCUACGGUAGGCAGCAGUGGAGAAUAUUGCACAAUGGGCGGAAGCCUGAUGCAGCAACGCCGCGUGCGGGAUGACGGCCUUCGGGUUGUAAACCGCUUUCGCCGGUGACGAAGCGUGAGUGACGGUAAUGGGUAAAGAAGCACCGGCUAACUACGUG
rnacentral:rRNA from 1 species